AAAGAUUUGUGAUCUGCAGAUUUUUUUUAAAGAAAUAAACAGUGUUGGUAACAUCAUCAAAAUGUUUUACAGUGUUUGCUCCUGGACUGUUUGCCAGAUCACCAGAAGUUUAACAUGGCUGUGACCAGUCUUCAUCAACUCCCAUUCCAACACCUCUCAGCUACCUUUUGAGGAUAAAAUACACACAGCAGACAGUUCACUACCUCACUGCCAAACUACCCUGAAGAGAAGUUUGUUGUCUACUUGACCCUGCUCACGGACAUGAUUGACAGCUUGCUGAGUUCUCUCACCUGCCUCCAGGUGAUCACAAAGACAGGUGACCUGUCUACCAUAGACCGCCAUUUCGACCUGUGAUUUUACAAGGACAUCUCAAAGUGACAGUGUGGAAGAAAAAUCUGUCCACAUAAUGUAAUGACAAGAAAAGAAAAGAGAAUAAAAGUAACAGCAG